CCUACGGGCGACAGCAGUGGGGAAUAUUGGGCAAUGGGCGCAAGCCUGACCCAGCAACGCCGCGUGAAGGAAGAAGGCUUUCGGGUUGUAAACUUCUUUUGACAGGGAAGAGUAGAAGACGGUACCUGUCGAAUAAGCCACGGCUAACUACGUGCCAGCAGCCGCGGUAAUACGUAGGUGGCAAGCGUUGUCCGGAUUUACUGGGUGUAAAGGGCGAGUAGGCGGGAUUGCAAGUCAGAUGUGAAAACUAUGGGCUCAACCGAUAGAGUGCAUUUGAAACUGCAGUUCUUGAGUGAUGGAGAGGCAGGCGGAAUUCCCGGUGUAGCGGUGGAAUGCGUAGAUAUCGGGAGGAACACCAGUGGCGAAGGCGGCCUGCUGGACAUUAACUGACGCUGAGGCGCGAAAGCGUGGGGAGCAAACAGGAUUAGAUACCCUUGUAGUC
rnacentral:rRNA from 1 species